rnacentral:rRNA from 1 species
UACGAAGGGGGCUAGCGUUGUUCGGAAUUACUGGGCGUAAAGCGCGCGCAGGCGGCUAUCCAAGUCAGUGGUGAAAGCCCGGAGCUCAACUCCGGAACUGCCAUUGAAACUGUUUAGCUUGAGGAUGAGAGAGGUGAGUGGAAUUCCCAGUGUAGAGGUGAAAUUCGUAGAUAUUGGGAAGAACACCGGUGGCGAAGGCGGCUCACUGGUCCGGUACUGACGCUGAGGUGCGAAAGCGUGGGGAGCAAACAGG